rnacentral:rRNA from 1 species
AGUGAACGCUGGCGGUAGGCCUAACACAUGCAAGUCGAACGGCAGCACAGUAAGAGCUUGCUCUUACGGGUGGCGAGUGGCGGACGGGUGAGGAAUACAUCGGAAUCUACUUUUUCGUGGGGGAUAACGUAGGGAAACUUACGCUAAUACCGCAUACGACCUACGGGUGAAAGCAGGGGAUCUUCGGACCUUGCGCGAUUGAAUGAGCCGAUGUCGGAUUAGCUAGUUGGCGGGGUAAAGGCCCACCAAGGCGACGAUCCGUAGCUGGUCUGAGAGGAUGAUCAGCCACACUGGAACUGGGACACGGUCCAGACUCCUACGGGAGGCAGCAGUGGGGAAUAGUGGACAAAGGGCGCAAGCCUGAUCCAGCCAUACCGCGUGGGUGAAGAAGGCCUUCGGGUUGUAAAGCCCUUUUGUUGGGAAAGAAAAGCAGCAGGUUAAUACCCCGCUGUUCUGACGGUACCCAAAGAAUAAGCACCGGCUAACUUCGUG